rnacentral:rRNA from 1 species
UACGUAGGGGGCAAGCGUUGUCCGGAUUUAUUGGGCGUAAAGAGCGUGUAGGCGGCCUGAUAGGUCGGUUGUGAAAACUGGAGGCUUAACCUUCAGACGUCGGCCGAAACCAUCUGGCUAGAGUCCGGAAGAGGAGAGUGGAAUUCCUGGUGUAGCGGUGAAAUGCGCAGAUAUCAGGAAGAACACCCGUGGCUAAGGCGGCUCUCUAGUACGGUACUGACGCCGAGACGCGAAAGCGUGGGGAGCGAACAGG